AUGUACAAAGCCACCUAGUAAAGACAGAAUAUAUGUGCCCCUCAGCAUCCGGGAUGGGGAAGCAAAGCAGUACGGAGGCUGGGAGGUGAAGUGCCAGCUCUCUGGACAGUGGCUCGCUCACGCCAUCCAGACUGUAAGAUUUACUCAUGAAUCCUCGACUGCCCUUGAAAUUCCUAACGACCUGUUACAGACCAUCCAGGAUCUCAUUUUGGAUCUCCGAGUACGUUGCGUAAUGGUCACAUUGCAGCACACGGCGGAAGAAAUAAAGAGAUUGGCUGAAAAAGAAGACUGGAUUGUUGAUAAUGAAAGACUGACUUCUCUACCAUGUCAGUUUGAACAGUGCAUCGUGUGUUCUCUGCAGUCACUGAAGGGGGUUCUGGAGUGUAAGCCGGGAGAGGCCAGUGUCUUUCAACAACCUAAAACACAGGAGGAGGUUUGCCAACUAAGCAUUAAUAUAAUGCAGGUUUUUACACACUGUCUGGAACAGUUGAGCAUCAAGCCUGAUGCAGAUAUAGAUAUUACACAUCUCUCUGUUGAUGUUUCUUCCGCUGAUUUGUUUGGAAGUAUCCACGAAGACUUCAGCUUGACCUCUGAACAGCGCCUUUUGAUAGUCCUAAGUAAUUACUGCUAUCUAGAACGUCACACCUUCCUAAAUAUCGCAGAACAUUUUCAAAAGCACAACUUCCAGGGAAUAGAAAAAAUAACACAGGUUAGCAUGGCCUCAUUGAAAGAACUAGAUCAAAGACUCUUUGAAAAUUACAUCAAGUUGAAAGCAGAUCCCGUCGUUAGCUACUUAGAACCUGGAAUUUGUGCAGGAUAUUUUGAUUGUAAAGACUGCCUGCUUCCAACAGGUGUCAGCAACUAUUUAAAAGAAGCACUGGUGAAUAUAAUUGCUGCGCACGCAGAGGUGUUCACUAUUUCCAAAGAACUGGCCCCUCAGGUACUGUUCAAGGUGACAGAAGCAGUUUCUGAAGAGCUCAGUCGACUGAUGCAAUGUGUUUCAUCCUUCAGCAAAAAUGGAGCUCUACAGGCAAGACUUGAAAUCUGUGCUUUAAGGGACACUGUGGCUGUUUACCUGACACCUGAAAGCAAGUCAAGUUUUAAGCAGACCUUGGAAGCCCUGCCCCAGCUUUCCAGUGGAGCAGAUAAAAAGUUACUGGAAGAGCUCCUGAUCAAGUUCAAGAGUAGCAUGCACUUGCAGCUCACCUGUUUCCAAGCAGCUUCUUCAACCAUAAUGAAAACAUAA